CUUAAACAGCCCGUCUGGAAACACGGACCAAGGAGUCUGACACAGAUGCGAGUACGGUGGUGGCAAACCACGGUGCGCAAUGAAAGUGACGAUCGGAUGCUUCGCGGCUGCACAAUCGACCGACCAUUAGGCUACGGCCUCGAGGUUUGAGUGAGAGCAUUUGUGUCGGGACCCGAAAGAUGGUGAACUAUGCCUGAAUAGGGCGAAGCCAGGGGAAACUCUGGUGGAGGCUCGUAGCGAUACUGACGUGCAAAUCGUUCGUCGGAUUUGGGUAUAGGGGCGAAAGACUAAUCGAAC
rnacentral:rRNA from 1 species